rnacentral:lncRNA from 1 species
CAUCACCACCCAAGCAUCCCUAUAAGUACAAGUCUCCACCUCCACCUCCACCAUCACCACCCAAGCACCCUUACAAGUACAAGUCUCCACCACCCCCACCAUCACCACCCAAGCACCCCUACAAGUACAAGUCUCCUCCACCACCUCCACCAUCACCACCCAAGCACCCCUACAAGUAUAAGUCUCCACCACCCCCACCAUCACCACCCAAGCAUCCUUACAAGUACAAGUCUCCACCACCACCACCACCAUCACCACCCAAGCACCCCUACAAGUACAAGUCUCCUCCACCUCCACCAUCACCACCCAAGCAUCCCUACAAGUACAAGUCUCCA